rnacentral:rRNA from 1 species
AGCGAACGCUGGCGGCAGGCCUAACACAUGCAAGUCGAACGAAGUCUUCGGACUUAGUGGCGGACGGGUGAGUAACACGUGGGAACGUGCCUUUAGGUUCGGAAUAACUAAGGGAAACUUGUGCUAAUACCGAAUGUGCCCUUCGGGGGAAAGAUUUCUCGCCUUUAGAGCGGCCCGCGUCUGAUUAGCUAGUUGGUGGGGUAAUGGCCCACCAAGGCUACGAUCAGUAGCUGGUCUGAGAGGAUGACCAGCCACAUUGGGACUGAGACACGGCCCAAACUCCUACGGGAGGCAGCAGUGGGGAAUCUUGCGCAAUGGGCGAAAGCCUGACGCAGCCAUGCCGCGUGGAUGAUGAAGGUCUUAGGAUUGUAAAAUCCUUUCACCGGUGAAGAUAAUGACUGUAGCCGGAGAAGAAGCCCCGGCUAACUUCGUGCCAGCCGCCGCAGUAAUAC